rnacentral:SRP_RNA from 1 species
GUUCGAGCCCCGCGCGAUGCGAACCACCGAACCCGGUCAGGCCCGGAAGGGAGCAGCCGUCAGGCGGACCUCGCAGGUGCCGCGGGUCCCCUUGAAC